rfam:Eucalyptus grandis cultivar BRASTZ1 unplaced genomic scaffold scaffold_3440, whole genome shotgun sequence.
GGGAGCGAUCAUACCAGCACUAAUGCACCGGAUCCCAUCAGAACUUCGAAGUUAAGCGUGCUGCGGCGAGAGUAGUACUAGGAUGGGUGACCUCCUGGGAAGUCCUCGUGUUGCACCCC